CCUACGGGAGGCAGCAGUGGGGAAUAUUGCACAAUGGGGGAAACCCUGAUGCAGCGACGCCGCGUGAGUGAAGAAGUACUUCGGUAUGUAAAGCUCUAUCAGCAGGGAAGAAAAUGACGGUACCUGAGUAAUAAGCCCCGGCUAACUACGUGCCAGCAGGCGCGGUAAUACGUAGGGGGCAAGCGUGAGCCGGAUUUACUGGGGGUAAAGGGAGCGUAGAUGGCAGUGCAAGUCUGGAGUGAAAGGCGGGGGCUCAACCCCCGGACUGCUCUGGAAACUGUACGGCUGGAGUGCAGGAGAGGUAAGUGGAAUUCCUAGUGUAGCGGUGAAAUGCGUAGAGAUGAGGAGGAACACCAGUGGCGAAGGCGGCUUACUGGACUGUAACUGACGUUGAGGCUCGAAAGCGUGGGGAGCAAACAGGAUUAGAUACCCCUGUAGUC
rnacentral:rRNA from 1 species